rnacentral:lncRNA from 1 species
UGUGCUUGGGCUUACCCCAACAAAAACCUCCCACUAUAAAUUAAUUUUAUGUACUACUUUAUAGGGUAAAAUUUGUGUAAUAAUGCUCUCUAUGCUUUUAAUAUAUAAAUAGGACAUGAUGGUUUGUUAGAAGUACCUCGCUUAUAAAGAUUUCCCCACCAUGAUCUUGCCACAUAGCAGUCUCGAGACCUUAGACCUGGUCAAGGACAACACAACACUUCAUUAAGUUAAAU